rnacentral:rRNA from 1 species
AGGGAAUCUUCCGCAAUGGACGAAAGUCUGACGGAGCAACGCCGCGUGAGUGAUGAAGGUUUUCGGAUCGUAAAACUCUGUUGCCGGGGAAGAACAAGUGCCGUUCGAACAGGGCGGCGCCUUGACGGUACCCGGCCAGAAAGCCACGGCUAACUACGUGCCAGCAGCCGCGGUAAUACGUAGGUGGCAAGCGUUGUCCGGAAUUAUUGGGCGUAAAGCGCGCGCAGGCAGCUUCUUAAGUCUGAUGUGAAAUCUUGCGGCUCAACCGCAAGCGGUCAUUGGAAACUGGGAGGCUUGAGUGCAGAAGAGGAGAGUGGAAUUCCACGUGUAGCGGUGAAAUGCGUAGAGAUGUGGAGGAACACCAGUGGCGAAGGCGGCUCUCUGGUCUGUAACUGACGCUGAGGCGCGAAAGCGUGGGGAGCAAAC